rnacentral:misc_RNA from 1 species
GCAAACUUGGUCAUUUAGAGGAAGUAAAAGUCGUAACAAGGUUUCCGUAGGUAUGUAUCGAGUCCCACACUCUCUUUCGUGUGACUCAACACUAACAAUUUUCUAGGUGAACCUGCGGAAGGAUCAUUAACGAGUUAGGGUCUUUGGCCCGACCUCCCAACCCUUUGUUUACUCAACCUUUUGUUGCUUCGGCGGGCCCGCCUGUAUGGGCCGCCGGAGGACCGUCGCAAGACGCCCUCUGGCCCGCGCCCGUCGAUGGCCAACUCUUACAAACUCUGAAAAAACAUGCCUAUGUCUAAGUCCUUUAUUCAAUAAAGCAAAACUUUCAACAACGGAUCUCUUGGUUCUGGCAUCGAUGAAGAACGCAGC